rnacentral:rRNA from 1 species
AAUCUUCCACAAUGGGGGCAACCCUGAUGGAGCAACUCCGCGUGCAGGAUGAAGACCUUCGGGUCGUAAACUCCUUUCGAUCGAGACGAAUGGCCUCUGGGUGAACAAUCCGGAGGAGUGACGGUACCGAGAGAAGAAGCCCCGGCUAACUCCGUGCCAGCAGCCGCGGUAAUACGGGGGGGGCAAGCGUUGUUCGGAAUUACUGGGCGUAAAGGGCUCGUAGGCGGCCAACUAAGUCAGACGUGAAAUCCCUCGGCUUAACCGGGGAACUGCGUCUGAUACUGGAUGGCUUGAAUCCGGGAGAGGGAUGCGGAAUUCCAGGUGUAGCGGUGAAAUGCGUAGAUAUCUGGAGGAACACCGGUGGCGAAGGCGGCAUCCUGGACCGGCAUUGACGCUGAGGAGCGAAAGCCAGGGGAGCAAAC